CACGAGAGCCACCGGGCUCUGGGCUGCGGAGGAGGUUGGAGGUGACCUUCCAGAAGGAACGUGGGACAAGGGGACCCUGGAAGUCUUGUUUGAAAUUUGAACAGUCUCACAGGCAGAUCAGGAGCAAGUGAGGACCUGGUGGGUAGUGGUUACUCUGUGAGAAGCCAGCAGCACCAACCAAAUAGAAGGUGGAGAGUGGCCCCCAGCUUCCCAGUUUGGGUUUGGGCCAAGACAACUA
rnacentral:lncRNA from 1 species